rnacentral:lncRNA from 1 species
CAGGGAGGCACUGCGGGGCGGAACAUGGGAAGGUCGUAACGGGCGGAGCACUGCUGCCGGAAAAGAAGGCGGGGCUUUACAGCAUUAUAAAAGAGUAGGACACGCUUCAUUAAAUGCCAUUUUGCCACUCCUCAUAUUGGUGUCUGUGUGGUGAUGGUCCGGGGUCUGGGGAGAAGGCCCCGUGCCUCCUCGGUAAGAACGAGAACGGUAACAAGUGGUGACCCCGACGUGAUACCGAGGAGGCGGCUCGGCCGGCGCAGGCGCCGGGAGCGUGAGGAAGGGAUCCGGAUCCGGAACCAUGGAGGCCAUAUGUAAGGCUCCAGCGGGCCAUUGCAGAGUCAGACUUGCCCCCUGAGGCCCAGGGUCCGGUCAUGAUGGAGUGCCUCUGGCAGCAGAGUGACGCCAUGACGCAGGACAUCCUGAAAACGAUCCCUAAAGGAACACCACUUUCGGUUGUCAUCCGCACGGUACUGCAAAAACAGAAUCAGGGAACAGCAGCAGCGCAGGCUCUUGUCACGGCGGUGGACCAGAUGAGAAAGGGACCACAGCGUUGCUUCUCUUGUGGAUAUCACAGGGAAGAGGGGCGACGCCAGACGGGAUGCUGCUGCAUGGCUGCAUUGAUGBUUAUCGCCGGCUUCAUGAUUCCGGGGACCGCAGAGUCAUACUGGAGGAGAUGAGCACAGGCGCACAGAGCAGCUCACUACUGCAUCCCUAGAAAUGGCUUAUAACACUAGGCUUGAUAGCACUCACAGUAGUAAUAGCRAUAUGCUGCGGCUUGCUAAUUCUGAAUUAUUGCUUACGGCAUGUACGGCUUAACUGCUUGAUAGACAUGAGCAUAGAGUAUAUCAAUUAAUAGUACAGGAAAAAGAGGUUCUAGAAAGGGGGGGAGAUGUGGUGGAUCUUGGGAAACUGCAUAGACAAGAUAUUUGCAUGAGAAGCGGUAGACUAGGYGUAGCGGAAGAUCACGCGGUGUGACGCGCAGCCUAGGGGUGGAAACGAAGUGCACCUGUAUGUAAGCUUGCACGCAGCCCACAAUAAACGCCAUUAGACGAAUGGCUAACUAACCUGU